rnacentral:ncRNA from 12 species
AUCGCUCAGGUCUGUGAUUGAAAGUCCAGGCUAGUUACGGGCAAAGGGACCCACGUAAGCUGGUCCGCAAGGCGGCAGUGAUCAUGGCGUAGCUUAGAAGUAAGUCCUUCCGGUCAGAGCCGGAAGGCGGGUGUGGGGGCAAAGAUCAGGUCAGCUGGGCGAU